rnacentral:rRNA from 1 species
GUGCCAGCCGCCGCGGUAAUACCGGCAGCUCGAGUGAUGACCGAUUUUAUUGGGCCUAAAGCGUCCGUAGCUGGCCGCGCAAGUCUGUCGGGAAAUCCACCCGCUUAACGGGUGGGCGUCCGGCGGAAACUGUGCGGCUUGGGACAGGAAGGCUCGAGGGGUACGUUCGGGGUAGGAGUGAAAUCCCGUAAUCCUGAACGGACCACCGAUGGCGAAAGCACCUCGAGAGGACUGAUCCGACAGUCAGGGACGAAAGCUGGGGUCUCGAACCGGAUUAGAAACCCGUGUAGUCC